UACGAGGGGGGCGAGCGUUGUUCGGAAUUAUUGGGCGUAAAGGGUGCGUAGGCGGUUCCGCAAGUCCUGUGUGAAAGCCCCGAGCUUAACUUGGGAAUUGCGCUCGAAACUACGAUGCUGGAGUGUGGCAGAGGAAGGUGGAAUUCCACGUGUAGCGGUGAAAUGCGUAGAGAUGUGGAGGAACACCGAUGGCGAAGGCAGCCUUCUGGGCCAACACUGACGCUCAUGCACGAAAGCGUGGGGAGCAAACAGG
rnacentral:rRNA from 1 species